UACGUAGGUGGCAAGCGUUGUCCGGAUUUACUGGGCGUAAGGAGCGCGCAGGCGGUCGUUCAAGUCGCGUGUGAAAGCCCCCGGCUCAACUGGGGAGGGUCACGCGAUACUGUUCGACUCGAAGGCAGGAGAGAGAAGUGGAAUUCCCGGUGUAGUGGUGAAAUGCGUAGAUAUCUGGAGGAACACCGGUGGCGAAGGCGGCAUCCUGGACCGGUAUUGACGCGUGAGGCGCGAAAGCUAGGGGAGCAAACGGG
rnacentral:rRNA from 1 species